rnacentral:rRNA from 1 species
AGAGUUUGAUCCUGGCUCAGGAUGAACGCUGGCGGCGUGCUUAACACAUGCAAGUCGAACGGACUUAGGUUGAAACCUAGUGAUUCCUAAGUUAGUGGCGGACGGGUGAGUAACGCGUGGGUAACCUGCCUCACACUGGGGGAUAACAGUUAGAAAUAGCUGCUAAUACCGCAUAAGCGCACAGGACCGCAUGGUCCGGUGUGAAAAACUCCGGUGGUGUGAGAUGGACCCGCGUCUGAUUAGCUAGUUGGUGGGGUAACGGCCUACCAAGGCGACGAUCAGUAGCCGGCCUGAGAGGGUGAACGGCCACAUUGGGACUGAGACACGGCCCAAACUCCUACGGGAGGCAGCAGUGGGGAAUAUUGCACAAUGGGGGAAACCCUGAUGCAGCGACGCCGCGUGAGUGAAGAAGUAUUUCGGUAUGUAAAGCUCUAUCAGCAGGGAAGAAAAUGACGGUACCUGACUAAGAAGCUCCGGCUAAAUACGUGCCAGCAGCCGCGGUAAUACGUAUGGAGCAAGCGUUAUCCGGAUUUACUGGGUGUAAAGGGAGCGUAGACGGUUUGGCAAGUCUGAAGUGAAAGCCCGGGGCUCAACCCCGGGACUGCUUUGGAAACUGUCGAACUAGAGUGCAGGAGAGGUAAGUGGAAUUCCUAGUGUAGCGGUGAAAUGCGUAGAUAUUAGGAGGAACACCAGUGGCGAAGGCGGCUUACUGGACUGUAACUGACGUUGAGGCUCGAAAGCGUGGGGAGCAAACAGGAUUAGAUACCCUGGUAGUCCACGCUGUAAACGAUGAUUACUAGGUGUUGGGGAGCUAUAGCUCUUCGGUGCCGCCGCUAACGCAAUAAG